rnacentral:rRNA from 1 species
UACGUAGGGUGCGAGCGUUAAUCGGAAUUACUGGGCGUAAAGCGUGCGCAGGCGGUUUUGUAAGCCAGAUGUGAAAGCCCCGGGCUUAACCUGGGAAUGGCAUUUGGGACUGCAAGGCUUGAGUGCGGCAGAAGAGACUGGAAUUCCUGGUGUAGCAGUGAAAUGCGUAGAUAUCAGGAGGAAUACCGAUGGCGAAGGCAGGUCUCUGGGCCACUACUGACGCUGAGAAGCGAAAGCAUGGGGAGCGAACAGG